rnacentral:ncRNA from 1 species
UGAAACAGCUUGCACUAAUUCUCAAACUUUAAAUGGGCAAGAGGCCCGGGAUGCUGGAGUGAUCCCGGGCGGCGAACGGCGCGUUCAAAGUGGGCCAUUUUUGGUAAGCAGACCGGGCGAUGCGGGAUGAACCGAACGCCGCGCUAAGGUACCCAAGUGUCCGCUCAUCAGAUACCACAAAAGGCGUUGGUACCUCCAGACAGCAGGACGGUGGCCAUGGAAGUCGGAACCCGCUAAGGAGUGUGUAACAACUCACCUGCCGAAGGUACUAGCCCUGAAAAUGGAUGGCGCUCAAGCGGACCACCGAUGCGCGGCCGCCGGCGCGAGCGCGAGGCGCCGGCGAGUAGGAGGGCGCGGGGCUCGCGGCGCAGCCUUGGGCGCGAGCCUCGCUGAAGCGGGCCCCGGUGCAGAUCUUGGUGGUAGUAUCAGU